rnacentral:tRNA from 1 species
UUGUGAUGUCUAAAUAUUUAUUUAAGGCCACAAUCCUGUCACCUUAGGUCGAUCGGUAUCUCAGUUUGAUAUCUAAUUUCUAAUUAACUAUUAAAUUCAGUUCCUAAACUUGUCUAGGUCACACCCAACAAGGGUACUCCUGGGCCAUUAGCUCAGGUGGUUAGAGCGCACCCCUGAUAAGGGUGAGGUCCCUGGUUCAAGUCCAGGAUGGCCCAUUCGGUGUUGGGGGUAUAGCUCAGUUGGUAGAGCGCCUGCUUUGCAAGCAGGAUGUCAGCGGUUCGAGUCCGCUUACCUCCACUGAACCACCUCCUAAUAACGAAGUUUUAGGAGAGCUUUUGUUCGUGUGACCUGGAAUUUGUUUUCUACGAAAGAACCUAGCUUCUUAUCAUUCUUAGUAAAAGUUUUUUAGUUUGAUUGAUAGGACGCUGGGCUCCCUGCAAAAAAACUGCAGAAAGUUCAGUAGAACCUUGACAACUGCAUAGGUGAGUCUGGAAAGAAUAAAGCAUCUCAUAGAUGCAUUAUUCUUUUGAAUUGAACAUGAUUCUUCUGUUAACGACAGAUUUAUCAUUUUAAUUUGAAAUGAUAAUGUGAGUUAUGAGCAAGAGAUAGACUCUAUAG